UACGUAGGGGGCUAGCGUUGUCCGGAAUCACUGGGCGUAAAGCGCGUGUAGGCGGUCCGGUAAGUCCGUUGUGAAAUUCGGGGGCUCAACCCUCGGAUGCCGGUGGAUACUGUCGGGCUUGAGUACGGAAGAGGCGAGUGGAAUUCCUGGUGUAGCGGUGAAAUGCGCAGAUAUCAGGAGGAACACCAAAUGCGAAGGCAGCUCGCUGGGACGUUACUGACGCUGAGACGCGAAAGCGUGGGGAGCAAACAGG
rnacentral:rRNA from 1 species